ensembl:misc_RNA
UGCUUUUGCGUUUAAAUGGGUGUGGUGCUAAGUAUAUCUUGUUUACCUUGUCUUUCUAUUGGAAAAAGUUUUGAAGUCUGGUUGAGUUUGUCACAUCAUGCCUGUUGCCUAGCACUACCAAAAGUAUUCUUAUCUAGUAACAAAGACUGGAAUAGGUGGAGAUUGAGGCUUGGC